UACAGAGGUCUCAAGCGUUGUUCGGAUUCAUUGGGCGUAAAGGGUGCGUAGGUGGCGAGGUAAGUCAGGUGUGAAAUCUCGGAGCUCAACUCCGAAACUGCACUUGAUACUGCCCCGCUCGGGUACUGGAGAGGAGAUUGGAAUUUACGGUGUAGCAGUGAAAUGCGUAGAUAUCGUAAGGAAGACCAGUGGCGAAGGCGAAUCUCUGGACAGUUACUGACACUGAGGCACGAAGGCCAGGGAGCAAACGGG
rnacentral:rRNA from 1 species